rnacentral:lncRNA from 1 species
GAUAAAAAAAAAAAAUUCUAGGAACACGAUUCCUGCCCUCGAUGAGCUGACUAGCUAAACAAAAUGAUGCCAGUAAUCGAAACAGCAAUGACUAGCAAGCUCUGAACUCAUGCUAUAUAGACCACGUCCCUUGCAGGAUCACAGCUGAGCCUCACAGCCCUCUGUAGUACCCAGGGUUGUCACUGCCAUCGGAUUAAUUAGGGACCCGGACUUAGGGAGACCCAGCUACUCCCCUGCAGCCCACACCAUUAGCACCGAUGGAGUCCGGUGUGGAUGUGGGCAGUCUGUCCCGGAGCCCUCUCUCUUACCCGAUAUGCUUUGCUGACCACGUGGAGAAAGAAGGGAGGCGGGACCAGAGAGGAUGAGGUGAGUGGCCGAUGAAUGAGAGGCCCUCUAGUUAAUCAGAGGAGAGGAAAUGUGACCGUGGGCUGCUGUCUGGCGAUGAGCAGAGAAGGACCCGGAAAGUAAGUUUCGGGCUCGGGGAGGGCCGCAUCUGUGAAGGCACACUCAGUCAUUUCACAGUCAGUGAGGUGGAUUUAGGACGCUGAUCGAUAGAGAGCCCUGAAACUGACACGGUCUUUAAGGGAGACGUUUUGGCCGCAGGCAUCAGGACCCCUAAAAAGGCCCACGGUGUUCAGCAAGCCACGUUGGCGGAUGUUUCACAAAGUCAUUUGCGGGCACUCAAAGCUGCAGGUGCAGAAGACCACCACCGAAGCCAUAUCUAUAAUGGCAAAGGAUUGGCAACACCCUAACGUCCAGCGUGGGGGACUCAUCAAAUCUUUCCACAGUUACCAUCAUGCGAUGCCUCACCACGCUCUGUCUUCUCUCUUUACCGUCGCUGGUCACCACUUAGCAUGACCCUCAUCCUGCAAGACGGCGAGUGAAAUGGGCUGCCUGGGUGGCUCCAUCGAUUAAUCGUCCGACUGCGGCUCAGGGCAUGAUCUCGCAGUUCGUGGGUUCGAGCCCCGCGUCGGGCUCUGUGCUGAUGGCUCAGAGCCUGGAGCCUGCUUUGGAUUCUUUGUCUCCCUCUCUCUCUGCCCCUCCCCCGGUCAUACUCUGUCUCU